rnacentral:rRNA from 1 species
AGAUUGAACGCUGGCGGCAGGCCUAACACAUGCAAGUCGAGCGGCAGCACGGGUACUUGUACCUGGUGGCGAGCGGCGGACGGGUGAGUAAUGCCUAGGAAUCUGCCCGGUAGUGGGGGGAUAACGCUCGGAAACGGACGCUAAUACCGCAUACGUCCUACGGGAGAAAGCAGGGGACCUUCGGCCUUGCGCUAUCAGAUGAGCCUAGGUCGGAUUAGCUAGUGGUGUAGGUAAUGGGCUACACCGAAGGGCGACGACUCCGUAACUGGUCUGAGAGGAUGAUCAGUCACACGUGGAACUGAGACCACGGUCAGACUCCGAGGGAGCGAGCAGGUAGGGGAAUAUUCGGGACUAAGUGGGGACCGUAAAGGCGUUCGAA